AGAGUUUGAUCCUGGCUCAGGAUGAACGCUGGCGGCGUGCUUAACACAUGCAAGUCGAACGAUGACUUUUGUGCUUGCACAGAAUGAUUAGUGGCGAACGGGUGAGUAACACGUGAGUAACCUGCCCCUGACUCUGGGAUAAGCCUGGGAAACUGGGUCUAAUACUGGAUAUGCACCGUAGACCGCAUGGUUUUGGUGGAAAGAAUUUUGGUCAGGGAUGGACUCGCGGCCUAUCAGCUUGUUGGUGAGGUAAUGGCUCACCAAGGCGACGACGGGUAGCCGGCCUGAGAGGGUGACCGGCCACACUGGGACUGAGACACGGCCCAGACUCCUACGGGAGGCAGCAGUGGGGAAUAUUGCACAAUGGGCGAAAGCCUGAUGCAGCGACGCCGCGUGAGGGAUGACGGCCUUCGGGUUAUAAACCUCUUUCAGUAGGGAAGAAGCGAAAGUGACGGUACCUGCAGAAGAAGCGCCGGCUAACUACGUG
rnacentral:rRNA from 1 species